UACGAAGGGUGCAAGCGUUAAUCGGAAUUACUGGGCGUAAAGCGUGCGUAGGCGGUUUGUUAAGUCUGUUGUGAAAUCCCCGGGCUCAACCUGGGAAUGGCAAUGGAUACUGGCAGGCUAGAGUAUGGUAGAGGAAGGUGGAAUUCCCGGUGUAGCAGUGAAAUGCGUAGAGAUCGGGAGGAACACCAGUGGCGAAGGCGGCCUUCUGGACCAAUACUGACGCUCAUGCACGAAAGCGUGGGGAGCAAACAGG
rnacentral:rRNA from 1 species